rnacentral:ncRNA from 1 species
UUUUCCACAAAAUAGCUGCAGUACGUAAUGAAGCUGUUAUAUUCGGUAAAGCGAAUGAUUACGGGAACUGUGGGACGAAGCGUUAACCUAUUCUCAAACAUUCAAUGAGUAUGACGUCUUGCUUGCUUGAAUGGAGCGUAGGGAUUGGAUGUGUGCUCCACGUAGGCCAUUUUUGGUAAGCAGAAUUGACGCUGUGAGAUGAACUA